rnacentral:rRNA from 1 species
GAUGAACGCUGGCGGCGUGCCUAACACAUGCAAGUCGAACGAGGUAUUUUGAUUGAAGUUUUCGGAUGGAUUUCAAGAUACCGAGUGGCGGACGGGUGAGUAACGCGUGGGUAACCUGCCUCAUACAGGGGGAUAACGGUUAGAAAUGACUGCUAAUACCGCAUAAGCGCACAGUACCGCAUGGUACGGUGUGAAAAACUCCGGUGGUAUGAGAUGGACCCGCGUCUGAUUAGCUAGUUGGUGGGGUAACGGCCCACCAAGGCGACGAUAAGUAGCCGACCUGAGAGGGUGAUCGGCCACAUUGGGACUGAGACACGGCCCAGACUCCUACGGGAGGCAGCAGUGGGGGAUAUUGCACAAUGGAGGAAACUCUGAUGCAGCGACGCCGCGUGAGUGAAGAAGUAUUUCGGUAUGUAAAGCUCUAUCAGCAGGGAAGAAAAUGACGGUACCUGACUAAGAAGCCCCGGCUAACUACGUGCCAGCAGCCGCCGUAA